AGAUUAUUUGUCUUUAUUCAGAAGCAUAGAGUUGUUUGCUGAUUGCAAGAAGAUGUUUCUUUGGCUCUUUCUGAUUGUGUCAGCCCUGAUUUCUUCGACAAAUGCAGAUUCUGACAUAUCAGUGGAAAUUUGCAAUGUGUGUUCCUGCGUGUCAGUAGAAAAUGUGCUCUAUGUCAACUGUGAGAAGGUUUCAGUCUACAGACCAAACCAGCUGAAACCACCUUGGUCUAAUUUUUA
rnacentral:lncRNA from 1 species